rnacentral:rRNA from 1 species
CCUCCUUUUGGCAGCAGUGAGGAAUAUUGGUCAAUGGGCGCGAGCCUGAACCAGCCAAGUAGCGUGAAGGAUGACUGCCCUACGGGUUGUAAACUUCUUUUAUAAAGGAAUAAAGUGAGGCACGUGUGCCUUUUUGUAUGUACUUUAUGAAUAAGGAUCGGCUAACACCGUGCCAGCAGCCGCGGUAAUACGGAGGAUCCGAGCGUUAUCCGGAUUUAUUGGGUUUAAAGGGAGCGUAGAUGGGUUGUUAAGUCAGUUGUGAAAGUUUGCGGCUCAACCGUAAAAUUGCAAUUGAUACUGGCAGUCUUGAGUACAGUUGAGGUAGGCGGAAUGUAUGGUGUAGCGGUGAAAUGCUUAGAGAUCAUGCAGAACACCGAUUGCGAAGGCAGCUUACCAAGCUACUUCUGACGUUGAGGCACGAAAGCGUGGGGAGCAAACAGGAUUAGAUACCCUGGUAGUC